rnacentral:rRNA from 1 species
GUCGAACGAAGCACCUUGAUUUGAUUCUUCGGAUGAAGAUCCUGGUGACUGAGUGGCGGACGGGUGAGUAACGCGUGGGUAACCUGCCUCAUACAGGGGGAUAACAGUUAGAAAUGAUUGCUAAUACCGCAUAAGACCACAGCACCGCAUGGUACAGGGGUAAAAACUCCGGUGGUAUGAGAUGGACCCGCGUCUGAUUAGGUAGUUGGUGGGGUAACGGCCUACCAAGCCGACGAUCAGUAGCCGACCUGAGAGGGUGACCGGCCACAUUGGGACUGAGACACGGCCCAAACUCCUACGGGAGGCAGCAGUGGGGAAUAUUGCACAAUGGGGGAAACCCUGAUGCAGCGACGCCGCGUGAGCGAUGAAGUAUUUCGGUAUGUAAAGCUCUAUCAGUAGGGAAGAAAAUGACGGUACCUGACUAAGAAGCACCGGCUAAAUACGUGCCAGCAGCCGCGGUAAUACGUAUGGUGCAAGCGUUAUCCGGAUUUACUGGGUGUAAAGGGAGCGUAGACGGAGUGGCAAGUCUGAUGUGAAAACCCGGGGCUCAACCCCGGGACUGCAUUGGAAACUGUCAAUCUAGAGUACCGGAGAGGUAAGCGGAAUUCCUAGUGUAGCGGUGAAAUGCGUAGAUAUUAGGAGGAACACCAGUGGCGAAGGCGGCUUACUGGACGGUAACUGACGUUGA